CCUACGGGAGGCAGCAGUGAGGAAUAUUGGUCAAUGGGCGCGAGCCUGAACCAGCCAAGUCGCGUGCGGGAAGACGGUCCUAUGGAUUGUAAACCUCUUUUGUCGGGGAGCAAAAGACGCCACGCGUGGCGUUCCGAGAGUACCCGAAGAAAAAGCAUCGGCUAACUCCGUGCCAGCAGCCGCGGUAAUACGGAGGAUGCGAGCGUUAUCCGGAUUUAUUGGGUUUAAGGGGUGCGCAGGGGGAAGAUAAAGUCAGCGGGAAAAUUGAGAGGCUCAACCUCUUCGAGCCGUUGAAACUGGUUUUCUUGAGUGAGUGAGAGGUAUGCGGAAUGCGUGGUGUAGCGGUGAAAUGCAUAGAUAUCACGCAGAACUCCGAUUGCGAAGGCAGCAUACCGGCGCUCAACUGACGCUCAUGCACGAAAGUGUGGGUAUCGAACAGGAUUAGAUACCCCUGUAGUC
rnacentral:rRNA from 1 species